GGAUGUGAGGGUGAUCUGGUUGUGACAGCUGCCACCCCACUGAUUGCCAGGGUUGAUUCAGCUGAUCUGGCUGGCUAGGAGGGUGUCCUCUUCCUCCCUAACUACUCCACGUGCACCCUCUUGAGGCUGUGUGUUUGGUCAAAGAGGACAACCAUCCCCAAGAGAGAAGGACUGGUCUUCCAUCAAGGGUACGCGCCUCCCUGCUAGAACCUCCAAACAAACUCUCAAGGUGCAAAAUGCAUUUCAGCUCAAAUAGUCAAUGCAUUCUUUCAACAAUGGUGAAUCAUUUUCCUAGUUUGA
rnacentral:snRNA from 1 species